rnacentral:misc_RNA from 1 species
UCUCCGUUGGUGAACCAGCGGAGGGAUCAUUACAGAGUUGCAAAACUCCCAAACCAUCGUGAACGUUACCUAUCCCGUUGCUUCGGCGGGCGGCCCGGGCCCCGCGCCCGGCGCCCCCCGGCCCCCCGUGGGCGCCCGCCGGAGGUAAACCAAACCCUUGAAUUGCAUGGCCUCUCUGAGUCUUCUGUACUGAAUAAGUCAAAACUUUCAACAACGGAUCUCUUGGUUCUG